rnacentral:misc_RNA from 1 species
UCUCCGUUGGUGAACCAGCGGAGGGAUCAUUACCGAGUUUACAACUCCCAAACCCCUGUGAACACACCAUUUGUUGCCUCGGCGGUGCCUGCUUCGGCAGCCCGCCAGAGGACCCAAACCCUUGAUGUUAUACAGUAUCUUCUGAGUAAAUGAUUAAAUAAAUCAAAACUUUCAACAACGGAUCUCUUGGUUCUG